GACAGAGGAUGCAAGCGUUAUCCGGAAUGAUUGGGCGUAAAGCGUCUGUAGGUGGCUUUUUAAGUCCGCCGUCAAAUCCCAGGGCUCAACCCUGGACAGGCGGUGGAAACUACCAAGCUGGAGUACGGUAGGGGCAGAGGGAAUUUCCGGUGGAGCGGUGAAAUGCGUAGAUAUCGGAAGGAACGCCGGUGGCGAAGCGACGUGCUGGACCUCUUCUGACGCUGAGGCGCGAAAGCUAGGGGAGCAAACGGG
rnacentral:rRNA from 1 species